rnacentral:lncRNA from 1 species
GGGUUUAACUUGCUUGUUCCGUGUAGCUACCAUGACCGCAUGAUGCAAAGGGAAACUUCUUUUCUUCGUAUUCUGUUUGUAUAGCAGUGUUGAUUGCCAGAAUAUUUCUACUUUGAGGAGCUUAAAAACGAGGCAUAUCUUGCAUGGUGUUUUCUGUUUACAAGGAUCAUGCUAUUAUAUUGUUUUAUCCUAAAUGAUGUGUCUCUCCAACUGAUUACUGAUGGGA